rnacentral:rRNA from 1 species
GACGAACGCUGGCGGCGUGCCUAAUACAUGCAAGUCGAGCGGGCCUCCGGAGGUGCUUGCACCUCCGGAAGGCCAGCGGCGGACGGGUGAGUAACACGUGGGCAACCUGCCUUUGAGGCCGGGAUAACACCGGGAAACCGGUGCUAAUACCGGAUGCGUCCCCUUUCGCGCCUGCGAGAGGGGAGAAAGACGGUCUUUAAGGCCGUCGCUCAAAGAGGGGCCCGCGGCGCAUUAGCUGGUUGGUGGGGUAAGGGCCUACCAAGGCGACGAUGCGUUGCCGCCCGGAGAGGGGGAUCGGCCACACUGGGACUGAGACACGGCCCAGACUCCUGCGGGAGGCAGCAGUAGGGAAUCAUCCGCAAUGGGCGAAAGCCUGACGGUGCAACGCCGCGUGAGUGAGGAAGGUUUUCGGAUCGUAAAGCUCUGUUGUGAGGGAAGAACAGCUUCCGGAGGAAAUGCCGGAGGUUUGCCGGUACCUCACCAGAAAGCCCCGGCUAACUACGUGCCAGCCGCCGCGGUAA